AAUGAACGCUGGCGGCAUGCCUAACACAUGCAAGUCGAACGAGACCUUCGGGUCUAGUGGCGCACGGGUGCGUAACGCGUGGGAAUCUGCCCUUGGGUUCGGAAUAACAGUUAGAAAUGAAUGCUAAUACCGGAUGAUGUCGUAAGACCAAAGAUUUAUCGCCCAAGGAUGAGCCCGCGUAGGAUUAGCUAGUUGGUGAGGUAAAAGCUCACCAAGGCGACGAUCCUUAGCUGGUCUGAGAGGAUGAUCAGCCACACUGGGACUGAGACACGGCCCAGACUCCUACGGGAGGCAGCAGUGGGGAAUAUUGGACAAUGGGCGAAAGCCUGAUCCAGCAAUGCCGCGUGAGUGAUGAGGCCUUAGGGUUGUAAAGCUCUUUUACCCGGGAUGAUAAUGACAGUACCGGGAGAAUAAGCUCCGGCUAACUUCGUGCCAGCCGCCGCAGUAAUAC
rnacentral:rRNA from 1 species